GAUCGUGAUGAUAUUAACCCUGCUCCGCUACUGAGUGUUGAAGCAUGAAACGAUAUCCUUCAGGGCUACUGAUGC